AUAUCAAUAAGCGGAGGAAAAGAAACCAACAGGGAUUGCCCCAGUAGCGGCGAGCGAAGCGGCAGCAGCUCAAAUUUGAAAUCUGGCCCUUCCGGGGUCCGAGUUGUAAUUUGCAGAGGAUGCUUCGGCGUUGGCUCCGGGAUAGGUCCCCUGGAACGGGGCGCCGUAGAGGGUGAGAGCCCCGUAUUCGCCCGGGCGGCCGUCGCCGUGUGAAGCUCCUUCGAAGAGUCGAGUUGUUUGGGAAUGCAGCUCCAAGCGGGAGGUAUAUUUCUUCUAAAGCUAAAUACCGGCCAGAGACCGAUAGCGCACAAGUAGAGUGAUCGAAAGAUGAAAAGCACUUUGGAAAGAGAGUUAAAAAGCACGUGAAAUUGUUGAAAGGGAAGCUCUUGCCGCCAGACUUGCCCCCGGUUGCUCAGCCGCUCCACCGAGCGGUGCACUCUUCCGGCGGCAGGCCAGCGUCAGUUCGGGCGGUCGGACRAAGGCCGCGGGAAUGUAGCCCCUCCCUCGGGGGGGGUGUUAUAGCCCGCGGUGCAAUGCGGCCAGCCCGGUCUGAGGUACGCGUUCCGCGAGGACGUUGGCGUAAUGGCGGCAAGCGACCCGUCUUGAAACACGGACCAAGGAGUCUAACAUCUGUGCGAGUGUUUGGGUGUCAAACCCAUGCGCGCAAUUAAAGUGAACGGAGGUUGGAACCCCCCUCGAGGGGCGCACAAUCGACCGAUCCUGRUGUCUUCGGAUGGAUUUGAGUAAGAGCAUAGCUGUUGGGACCCGAAAGAUGGUGAACUUUGCCUGGACAGGGCGAAGCCAGAGGAAACUCUGGUGGAGGCUCGCAGCGGUUCUGACGUGCAAAUCGAUCGUCAAAUCUUGGCAAAGGGGCGAAAGACUAAUCGAACCAU
rnacentral:rRNA from 1 species